rnacentral:rRNA from 1 species
UACGUAGGUGGCAAGCGUUGUCCGGAAUUAUUGGGCGUAAAGCGCGCGCAGGCGGUCUUUUAAGUCUGCUGUGAAAGCCCCGGGCUCAACCUGGGAAUGGCAGUGGAUACUGGCAAGCUAGAGUGCGGUAGAGGGGUGUGGAAUCCCCGGUGUAGCGGUGAAAUGCGUAGAGAUCGGGAGGAACACCAGUGGCGAAGGCGGCACCCUGGACCAGCACUGACACUGAGGCACGAAAGCGUGGGGAGCAAACAGG